rnacentral:misc_RNA from 1 species
GACAACCUCCAGUUCAGGACCGGAGCCGAUGAUUUCCAGACACGAUGCGUUCUGCCCGUUUCCCACUAGCGCAUUUGCCAGCGUGAAGCCGCUGCGGUCGAGGGCGCCGGAAACUGGCACCCCGACGUGCUGAAAGCCGCGCCGUCCUUCGUCCUGCACGGUGGUGUGAAAGCCGGGCGCGAUANNNNNNNNNNAGAAAUCACGCCGCAAGCUCCGUGCUGUCCGGAAUGUAGUCGUUGCGGUCCACAGCUUUGC